rnacentral:tRNA from 1 species
AGGUAUAUAGCUCAGUGACAGAGUACAAGCUUAGCAUACAUGAGGUCUUGGGUUCACUCCCCAGUAUUUCCA